rnacentral:rRNA from 1 species
UACGUAGGGUGCGAGCGUUGUCCGGAUUUAUUGGGCGUAAAGAGCUCGUAGGCGGCUUGUCACGUCGGUUGUGAAAGCCCGGGGCUUAACCCCGGGUCUGCAGUCGAUACGGGCAGGCUAGAGUGUGGUAGGGGAGAUCGGAAUUCCUGGUGUAGCGGUGAAAUGCGCAGAUAUCAGGAGGAACACCGGUGGCGAAGGCGGAUCUCUGGGCCAUUACUGACGCUGAGGAGCGAAAGCGUGGGGAGCGAACAGG